AAUAACUAAAUUCAAUUAACGGGGAAAAUAAAUGGUAUAUUGGCUUGAGGUGAUGCUUAUCAGUGUUGGCUUAAAAUCUCUGUGAAUCAAGAAACCCCUUUCUAGAAUAUGCAGCGCAAUAUGCUGUAGCAGCAGCCCUUGCGACAUUGGAAAAGGAUAAAAAGGAUUUGUUACACAAACUACUUUUACAAGGUCUUGACAUUACAAUUUUAGGUUGCAAUGACUUCUAUUCAUAUCGGAAUCAGGUGGGGUUUAUCAAGUGAGACCGGAAAAGGGAAAG